AGGUAAGCUACUAAGAGCGAAUGGUGGAUGCCUUGACUGGUAAAGGCGAUGAAGGACGUACUAGACUGCGAUAAGCUACGGGGAGCUGUCAAGAAGCUUUGAUCCGUAGAUUUCCGAAUGGGGCAACCCAAUGUAUAGAGAUAUACAUUACCUAUAUAGGAGCGAACGAGGGGAAUUGAAACAUCUUAGUACCCUCAGGAAAAGAAAUCAAUAGAGAUUGCGUCAGUAGCGGCGAGCGAAAGCGCAAGAGGGCAAACCCAGUGCUUGCACUGGGGGUUGUAGGACUGCAAUGUGCAAGAGCUGAGUUUAGCAGAACAUUCUGGAAAGUAUAGCCAUAGAGGGUGAUAGUCCCGUAUGCGAAAAACAAAGCUUAGCUAGCAGUAUCCUGAGUAGGGCGGGACACGAGGAAUCCUGUCUGAAUCCGGGUCGACCACGAUCCAACCCUAAAUACUAAUACCAGAUCGAUAGUGCACAAGUACCGUGAGGGAAAGGUGAAAAGAACUGAGGUGAUCAGAGUGAAAUAGAACCUGAAACCAUUUGCUUACAAUCAUUCAGAGCACUAUGUAGCAAUACAGUGUGAUGGACUGCCUUUUGCAUAAUGAGCCUGCGAGUUGUGGUGUCUGGCAAGGUUAAGCAAACGCGAAGCCGUAGCGAAAGCGAGUCUGAAUAGGGCGCUUAGUCAGAUGCUGCAGACCCGAAACGAAGUGAUCUAUCCAUGAGCAAGUUGAAGCUAGUGUAAGAACUAGUGGAGGACUGAACCCAUAGGCGUUGAAAAGCCCCGGGAUGACUUGUGGAUAGGGGUGAAAGGCCAAUCAAACUUCGUGAUAGCUGGUUCUCUCCGAAAUAUAUUUAGGUAUAGCGUUGUGUCGUAAUAUAAGGGGGUAGAGCACUGAAUGGGCUAGGGCAUACACCAAUGUACCAAACCCUAUCAAACUCCGAAUACCUUAUAUGUAAUCACAGCAGUCAGGCGGCGAGUGAUAAAAUCCGUCGUCAAGAGGGAAACAACCCAGACUACCAGCUAAGGUCCCUAAAUCUUACUUAAGUGGAAAACGAUGUGAAGUUACUUAAACAACCAGGAGGUUGGCUUAGAAGCAGCCAUCCUUUAAAGAAAGCGUAAUAGCUCACUGGUCUAGUGAUUUUGCGCGGAAAAUAUAACGGGGCUAAAGUAAGUACCGAAGCUGUAGACUUGCACACAACUUAGAUUAUUUAAGUUUAGAAUAUGAGAAACUAAGUUAUAUGUUUAGUUAUAUUUUUACUGAUUUUUAUAGAGUAAAGAUAGAAAUAAAACUUAGUAAAAUCAGUAAAAAUAUUCUUAGGCUAAAGUUAAGUAGUUUAAGUUGUGUGCAAGUGGUAGGAGAGCGUUCUAUUUGCGUCGAAGGUAUACCGGUAAGGAGUGCUGGAGCGAAUAGAAGUGAGCAUGCAGGCAUGAGUAGCGAUAAUUAAUGUGAGAAUCAUUAACGCCGUAAACCCAAGGUUUCCUACGCGAUGCUCGUCAUCGUAGGGUUAGUCGGGUCCUAAGUCGAGUCCGAAAGGGGUAGACGAUGGCAAAUUGGUUAAUAUUCCAAUACCAACAUUAGUGUGCGAUGGAAGGACGCUUAGGGCUAAGGGGGCUAGCGGAUGGAAGUGCUAGUCUAAGGUUGUAGGAGGUUAUACAGGCAAAUCCGUAUAACAAUACUCCGAGAACUGAAAGGCUUUUUGAAGUCUUCGGAUGGAAAGAAGAACCCCUGAUGCCGUCGAGCCAAGAAAAGUUUCUAAGUUUAGCUAAUGUUGCCCGUACCGUAAACCGACACAGGUGGGUGGGAUGAGUAUUCUAAGGCGCGUGGAAGAACUCUCUUUAAGGAACUCUGCAAAAUAGCACCGUAUCUUCGGUAUAAGGUGUGCCUCCCUUUGUAUUAGGAUUUACUCCGAAAGCAAAGAAGGUUACAACAAAGAGUCCCUCCCGACUGUUUACCAAAAACACAGCACUCUGCUAACUCGUAAGAGGAUGUAUAGGGUGUGACGCCUGCCCGGUGCUCGAAGGUUAAUUGAUGGGGUUAGCAUUAGCGAAGCUCUUGAUCGAAGCCCGAGUAAACGGCGGCCGUAACUAUAACGGUCCUAAGGUAGCGAAAUUCCUUGUCGGUUAAAUACCGACCUGCAUGAAUGGCGUAACGAGAUGGGAGCUGUCUCAAAGAGGGAUCCAGUGAAAUUGUAGUGGAGGUGAAAAUUCCUCCUACCCGCGGCAAGACGGAGAGACCCCGUGGACCUUUACUACAGCUUGACACUGCUAUUUGGAUAAGAAUGUGCAGGAUAGGUGGGAGGCUUUGAGUAUAUGACGCCAGUUGUAUAUGAGCCAUUGUUGAGAUACCACUCUUUCUUAUUUGGGUAGCUAACCAGCUUGAGUUAUCCUCAAGUGGGACAAUGUCUGGUGGGUAGUUUGACUGGGGCGGUCGCCUCCCAAAUAAUAACGGAGGCUUACAAAGGUUGGCUCAGAACGGUUGGAAAUCGUUCGUAGAGUAUAAAGGUAUAAGCCAGCUUAACUGCAAGACAUACAAGUCAAGCAGAGACGAAAGUCGGUCUUAGUGAUCCGGUGGUUCUGUGUGGAAGGGCCAUCGCUCAAAGGAUAAAAGGUACCCCGGGGAUAACAGGCUGAUCUCCCCCAAGAGCUCACAUCGACGGGGAGGUUUGGCACCUCGAUGUCGGCUCAUCGCAUCCUGGGGCUGGAGCAGGUCCCAAGGGUAUGGCUGUUCGCCAUUUAAAGCGGUACGCGAGCUGGGUUCAGAACGUCGUGAGACAGUUCGGUCCCUAUCUGCCGUGGGCGUAAGAAGAUUGAAGAGAUUUGACCCUAGUACGAGAGGACCGGGUUGAACAAACCACUGGUGUAGCUGUUGUUCUGCCAAGAGCAUCGCAGCGUAGCUAAGUUUGGAAAGGAUAAACGCUGAAAGCAUCUAAGCGUGAAGCCAACUCUAAGAUGAAUCUUCUCUAAGCUCUCUAGAAGACUACUAGUUUGAUAGGCUGGGUGUGUAAUGGAUGAAAGUCCUUUAGCUGACCAGUACUAAUAGAGCGUUUGGCUUAUCUUU
rnacentral:rRNA from 1 species